ensembl:lncRNA
UCCCUGACACUUGUGUCAUUGCACUUCCAAAGGGCAAGGAAACUCUGCACUGGUCUGCAUUCCUCUCCAGGGUGCAUCUUACAGAUAAAUCCUUUCCACCUGCUGGUUUUCUUUGAAGACAAUGGACAGUGACUGGUAAAGGGUAGCUCAGUGCUUAUCCUGGAUGCUCAGACAUGCCAUGAUCAUGACGAGCAGAACAAUCUUCAUUUCUUGGAAAGCAGAGACAUUAUUCAUUGUAGAAGGCACAAGAAUAUUUGAUCUGUAGACAAACCAGUGGACUGAAAGAGUCUUCACCCUUUUCCCAGGAGGAUGUCCUAACCAUGCAGGAAGGAACUGGAAGCCAUGUUGGACAGUUUCACUUUCUGCAAGGAGAAAAAGACAGUGAAGAAAACUGACAGCCAGAAAAAUGAGACAAACUACUUAGUAAUUUUCAUCUCGAAUUGGAUCAUGGCCUUCAGCAAGUAAUUUCAGUUCAGCAAGCCUGCACAGAUUGAAGAAAGGUUCUUGAAGCAUGUGAAACUCCCAAAGCUGAAGAUUUGUUAAGAAAGCUUUCUGAAUCACUCUGAAUAAGUAAGGAGUCUAUGAACCUUUCCUGAACAAACUCCUUAAAUUUAUUCAAGUAAUGAUGCCAAAUAAAGAAUUAAAUGCUUACUGC